CUCUGUUGAUGCAGCCCAGGAUACUGUUGGCCUUCUGGGCUAAAAGCACACACUGCUGGCUAAUCCCCAGCUUUUCAUCACCAGGAGCCCGAGGUCCUUCUCAUCAGGGCUGCUCUCAAGGAGUUCUUCUCCCAGUCUGCAUUCAUAUGUGGGAUUGCCCUGAUCCAAGUGCAACACCAUGCACUUGGCCUUGUAGUACAUCAUAAAAUAGCAUACAAUCCACAAAGUGCAGAGUAUUCUGUCUAUUUUAUUUAUUAUUGCUGUUAUUGUUGAAUUAUGCUCUGUCCACUGGAGACAAUAGCCAUAUACUUUGCAAUGGACAGUUAAGGGUUAUCAAAUAAUUGGAUGGAUUUCUUUUCAUGUCUGAUCAUUUACAGAUUUGUUUAUGCUCAGUGUUCAAGUGUUCCUGUGAUAUAUCUUGUCUAGGAAAGAAAGCACUCACACCAGCCACCACCACAUUAGUAUAAGUUCUUUUCUCAAGUUAAUGAUAUGUUGUAACAGAAAACCUAGAGCAAGAUUUAAGCUUCUACUAAACUUGGUGGCUUUACAUUAUUUGCAAAAAUCAUUAAAACUGAACAAAACAUUUAAAACUGUGCAAAACAAACCUAUGUCAUUUUCCUAAAUAAUGGUGGUUCUAGAACACAGAUGUUUUGAUGGGUGUUGUUCUCAUAUACUGUGUUUCUUUUGGAGGUUCAGAAAUUGGUAUGCAAACGCCCAAUCCCCUUUUGUAUUAACCUUAUUAAGAUCAAUAAGCAUUUCACUUUAAACAGUAAUGCUCCAAGAUGGGAGAGUUGAAAGUCUGGUUUGCUUAUUUCUUUCAGAAUAUGAAGAUCCUUAUUACCUUGUGAAGAAACAUAAUGUAAAUCCAUCUUAUCAGUAGCUAUUGCACUCUAUGAAGUAGUGCAGUUAGGUUUCAUUUAUAUUCUCUCUUAAUUUUCCACCAAGUUCAAAUGCAGUCUCCUAAAUUCACACACUCAUGCUAGUUUUUCCAGUAUUUACAAUUAAUUUUUUUUUCUUCUAAGGAUUUCUUUUUUCUUCUGCACAGAAAGCUUUGCAGAGCCAUCUCAGUGAACGUGAGGGACAAAGUGCUCAGGUCCUGCUUCCUGUGGGGUCGGCCAUCACCAACAUCUUCUUUGGCGCUGAAAGAAAAGGAGGAAUCGCAGGAUGAGAAUUUUGGCAAGAUGGAGAUCAGAUCUCUGGAAGGGUGCAAAUGGCACUGCAAGACUAGAAGAUCUAAACCCUAUGAAGCUGAACAAGUGUAACCACAAUGCCUCACUGGGGCUGUUUGGCUCUGGCCUAAGAGUUGGAAGAGCUGUAUCUCUGUUUUGAAGAGAAAAAACAAGCUUUGGAAAUGAUGCUUUGUGCCUGUGCAGCAAGCUUUGCUGUGGGCUCCCCGCUCCUGAAAGCACUGCAGCCUCUUUCCCCUGGGCCAGGGCACAAGUCAGAGAGAAAUUAUGCUGUGCCUACCACUGUAACAUCACCAGCUCAGACCUGAAACUGUGUGUAUACCAUAAGGUACCACCUCAACAGCAGAAAAUAAGCAACUUCAUUUGGUGUUUUUAAUCACUGCAACACCCAGUUUGCUGCAUAAAAUCAGUACUGCAGAAGCCGAAGUCAAAAUGAUUCUCUGAUGGGCUUAAGGAGACAGCUAAAACAACAAAACCUUUCCCUCUCCCCAGAAAACAUUUGGACAUUUGCAUGUAGUGAGAUGUGCAAUAGGCGAGGAAUAAAUUAACUGCAGAAUCUCAGCUCCUUUAAUGAAAUAAUCUGCUGAACUGAUGUUUGUAUGUAGUUCAAAGAAAAUCCUUUUGAAGACAUAUGGCCUUUUCAUUGUAUUCCAUUUUGGCUCGAGUUUCAUAGUACUAGCAAAAUAUAUAAACUGUUGAUGAACCUGAUUACUUUGUUUUUUUUCAAGGUUCCUCUGAGUAUUUCUAACCUUAGAGAUUCAGGCUUGUCCAAGCAUAGAACUUGAUGUCUUGGUUCCUUCCCCUUGACAAAAAAUGGAGGACUGAAGCAGAGAUGGGAUUAUGCUAAAUGCACCACUGACAGGGCUGAAGUGCUGAUUGUACCAUAUUGCAGAAAUGUAAGAUGUUCUUGGUUAAUCUGGGAAAGACUCACUGAACCCAAGCAAAACAGCAAAUUAUUCUGCUGGAAACAAGGAAGAGUAAGCAAAGUGUGAGCAGCAAAGUCUGGUUUGGCUAAGUCUUUGACAUACAGCGAAGAGCUGUGCCCACACCUGGUGCCUUAGGCUGACUAAACUGGUAACAACCCUAAUACCUGUAAUUUGGCUUGUCUGCAUGCAAGUCAUGAGAUUUUUUUCAGCCACUACAGUGUCAAACCCAAUCUUUCUCAUUAAACAAGAGCAUUUUUUUUUAAAAAAAAAGAAGCAUCAAAUCUGAAGAUAAAGUGACAAAAAGACAAGUAAGCUGCAUGGAUAGAUUGGUACUUUAGGCAGAAACUGGUCAGCGUCAGUUUGUCUAGGGACUUUGUUUUUUGGGGAAAAGCAAACAGAACAGCCAAACUCCUCCCCAACUCUAAUUUCCAUAUUGAAGAGCAUGAAGUUGGUUCUUAUUUAGCAAAUUAAAUAUGGGACACAUUUCUUUCAGUGCUGCCUCAUUUAUUUGCCAUGUGCAGCAUACUGGUAAUAUCUGUGUAGAAACCUUCUGCUCAAUUGCAAAUCACUGUAUAAGAUGAGGGAGAUAAAUACUCAGCCCCUCCAAGACUUCUGUUGUCUAAAAACAGCAGUACAGAAUAGUAAGGUGCAUAGAGUACUACUUUUCCCUAGAAGUCCUUCUUUUACGUCUUCUGAAUGAUGUGACUGUCAGGCUAAGAACAUAAUCUAUAGAAGCACUGGAACACACAUAUUAUAUAGGCAGUGAUGCCAACAUGAAAAAGCCACCAUCUUUUCCCUGCAUGUAUUGCUGACACUGCUGUUUCUGAAUGGCACACCAGUAGGCAGGACCCUGCUCUUUGCAUGCCAUGGGUGUAACACUGCCUCUGAGACUCUGCAUGGAGCAAGAGUUGCUGCCAGGAGGAUCUUUCUUUUCAUGGUAAGACCAUACUGUCCUCCUAACUUAACAUGAGCCAACAGUGUGUGCUUGCAUCCUGAAAGGCCAACUGUAUCCUGAGCUGCAUCAAAGGAGAGGUGGCCAGCAGGGCAAGGGAAGUAAUGGUCCCCCUCUAGUCUACCCUCAUAAGGUCCCAUCUGGUAUACUGUGUCCAGACCUGGGGGCCUCAACAGAAGAAAGAUGUGGAACUGCAGGAGCAGAUCCAAGGGAAGGCCACAAAGAUGAUCAGAGAGUCGAAGCACCUUUUCUAUGAAGAAGGACUGAGUGAGCUGGGCUUGUUCAGACUGGAGAAGACUCUGGGGAGACCUCAAUUAUGGCUUUCCUGUACUUGAAGGGAGUUUAUAGUCAAGAGGGAAAAGGACUUUUUACACAGACUGAUAGUGAUAGAACAAAGGCAAA